rnacentral:lncRNA from 1 species
GUUCCAAGAAAGAAUGUGAUUUAUGAACGAGCUAAAUUUAACAAGAGAGUACAACAGCCAUCAGAACCAGUGGAUGCGUUUAUAACAGCACUCUAUGCACUAGCAGAAAACUGUGAGUAUGGUGCACUUCAUGAAGACUUACUGAGAGAUAGGAUUGUAGUGGGGCUGAAAGAUUCGUCACUGUCAGAAAGAAUGCAGCUUGACAAAAAUCUUACACUGGCUAAAGCUAUCACAAUGGCUAGACAAUCAGAGGAAAUAAAACGACAACAGACUGACUUAAGAUGUGAAGCUAGUGCCAGCAAAGCAGCUAUGGAUACAGUUCACGUCAGAAAAACCAAACUGAACAGGUUUAAAAACAAAGACCAAAAACAGUUCAGGUCCCCAAAGCCUCAACAGACAAAACAGGACAGUAAGACAUGUUUCAAGUGUGGCAAAACACCAGCUCAUGCAGCAGCACAAUGCCCGGCUAAAAAUGCAGAAUGCCAUAACUGUGGGAAACGUGGGCACUAUGGUAGGGUCUGUAGGUCCAACCCGACUGUGAAUGAGGUCACUGAAAAUGCAGAUGGACUUUUCCUGGGUGAAGUGGAUUUUGGAGAAGAACCAUGGCUAGCGGACAUAACUGUGAGAGGAAAAAGAGUGACUUUCAAGCUAGAUUCCGGGGCGGAUGUCACAUCUAUUUCUGAACUUAUAUUCAAAGACUGCAAAGGCAAAAAUGAACAGUUGGAGAAAGCACAAAAACCACUCUAUGGCCCAGGAGGAUCUGCACUGCAUGUGUUAGGGUCUACCACAGAGACUCUCAUACAUGGCGACAGAAGCACGAUUGAGAAAAUCUAUGUAGUCAGAAACUUACGCGUGGCACUACUAAGCAGAUCAGCUUCUGUGAGACUGAAACUAAUCACCAGAGUUUAUAGUAUAGACCAAGAGACAGUGAGUAAAGUGUAUCCCAGGUUAUGCAAUGGUCUUGGGCUCACUCAGAAGCCAUACACAAUUAAAUUAAAACCUGAUGCAAAGCCCUUUUCACUCAAGGUGCCAAGGCGUGUG